rnacentral:rRNA from 1 species
UACGUAGGGUCCGAGCGUUGUCCGGAAUUACUGGGCGUAAAGCGUGCGUAGACGGUUAUUUAAGUCAGGUGUGAAAGCCCCGGGCUCAACCUGGGAAUUGCAUUUGAGACUGAAUAGCUAGGGUGCGGAAGAGGGAAGCGGAAUUUCCGGUGUAGCGGUGAAAUGCGUAGAUAUCGGAAGGAACACCAGUGGCGAAGGCAGCUCGCUGGGACGGUACUGACGCUGAGGCGCGAAAGCGUGGGGAGCAACAGG